CUCCAUGGCGGGCCGGGCGGGGAGACCUACGGGUCUGCCGGGUCCAUGUGUCCGGUUCGCCAACCCCGUUUCGGCCUGCCACCCCG
rfam:Chromobacterium sp. 37-2 Cmus_37-2.4, whole genome shotgun sequence.